UACGGAGGGGGCCAGCGUUGUUCGGAAUCAUUGGGCGUAAAGCGCGUGUAGGCGGUCCGGUAAGUCCGCUGUGAAAGUCGGGGGCUCAACCCUCGAAUGCCGGUGGAUACUGUCGGGCUAGAGUGCGGAAGAGGCGAGUGGAAUUCCCGGUGUAGCGGUGAAAUGCGCAGAUAUCGGGAGGAACACCAAUGGCGAAGGCAGCUCGCUGGGACGGUACUGACGCUGAGGCGCGAAAGCGUGGGGAGCAAACAGG
rnacentral:rRNA from 1 species